CCUACGGGAGGCAGCAGUAAGGAAUAUUGGUCAAUGGACGAAAGUCUGAACCAGCCAUGCCGCGUGAAGGAUUAAGGCCCUCUGGGUUGUAAACUUCUUUUAUCUGGGACGAAAAAAGGGUAUUCUUACUCACUUGACGGUACCAGAGGAAUAAGCACCGGCUAACUCCGUGCCAGCAGCCGCGGUAAUACGGAGGGUGCAAGCGUUAUCCGGAUUUACUGGGUUUAAAGGGUGCGUAGGUGGGCUUGUAAGUCAGUGGUGAAAUCUCCGGGCUUAACCCGGAAACUGCCAUUGAUACUAUAGGUCUUGAAUUAUCUGGAGGUAAGCGGAAUAUGUCAUGUAGCGGUGAAAUGCUUAGAUAUGACAUAGAACACCAAUUGCGAAGGCAGCUUACUACGGAUACAUUGACACUGAGGCACGAAAGCGUGGGGAUCAAACAGGAUUAGAUACCCUGGUAGUCCACGCCCUAAACGAUGGAUACUCGACAUCAGCGAUACACUGUUGGUGUCUGAGCGAAAGCAUAAGUAUCCCACCUGGAAGUACGAUCGCAGAUUGAAACUCAAAGGAAUUGACGGCUGAGAGNGCGAGACGACGACGAGGAGAGG
rnacentral:rRNA from 1 species